CUGGUUGAAUUCAAAUGGAAGCCACAGGGGAAGGGAGCUCCUGAUGCAGCCUGCAGCCCGUAUAGGUCGGUUCCUGGGGCAGAGGGCAGGUGGAGAAGAGUGGAAAGCAGCACUGGGCAAGUAGAAGGUGAACACAUUCUUUUGAUCACAUCUCCCGAACAAGCAUGAGACUUUCCAGGUGACAUUUCUCUUCUUGGCCCAGAAUACAGAGUAUGGUGCUACUAACCAGAGCCCCUGGACUGAGGAAAGCAUUCUCCUGCACAGAGCCCAACGAGACCGAGAGGGGCAACAGAGGAGGAACUGUACUUUGUGUCUUUGAAAGAUAUGAAAUUGACCAGCAAGGGCACAAUCGACAAUAAAGAGCCUAAAGAGAGAGUUCCUGGACCUCAGCUGGAAGCGGUGGUGCCCAGAAAGCACACGUGCCGAUUGGACAAUUAGACAAA